rnacentral:rRNA from 1 species
GACGAACGCUGGCGGCGUGCCUAAUACAUGCAAGUCGAACGCAGUGGGGACGGGUGAGUAACACGUGGGUAACCUCCCCUCAGAGGGGAUAACACUUGGAAACAGGUGCUAAACCGAUACUGAUGGAUGGACCCUCGGUGCAUUAGCUAGUUGGUGAGGUAACGGCUCACCAAGGCCACGAUGCAUAGCCGGCUUGGGAGGGUGAUCGGCCACAAGGGGACGGAGACACGGCCCAGACUCCUACGGGAGGCAGAAGUAGGGAAGCUUCGGAAAUGGACGAAAGUCUGACCGAGCAACGACGCGGGAGUGAAGAAGGUUUUCGGAUCGUAAAACUCUGUUGUUAGAGAAGCGGUAUCUAACCAGAAAGCCACGGCUAACUACGUGCCAGCAGCCGCGGUAAUUC